GUUUCUGUGUUCGGCAUUCCAUGUCCGGUCUAUGGCCCGUCGUGUGUUGUCAAUAGCUUGUCGAUGUGGGAUGAAUCCUACUUGGUCGGGAUGUAUCAGGGAGCCCAUUAGAGGGUUGAUCCUGUUAGCUAUUACUUUGGUCAUGAUUUUCAAGUCAACUUUCAAGAGUGAAAUUGAGUGGAAGUAUCCUGGUUCGUCAUGAGGUUUUCC